UACAGAGGUCUCAAGCGUUGUUCGGAUUCAUUGGGCGUAAAGGGUGCGUAGGUGGCGCCGUAAGUCGGGUGUGAAAUUUCGGAGCUUAACUCCGAAACUGCAUUCGAUACUGCGGUGCUUGAGGACUGGAGAGGAGACUGGAAUUCAUGGUGUAGCAGUGAAAUGCGUAGAUAUCUGGAGGAGCACCGGUGGCGAAGGCGGCAUCCUGGACCGACACUGACGCUGAGGAGCGAAAGCCAGGGGAGCAAACGGG
rnacentral:rRNA from 1 species